rnacentral:misc_RNA from 1 species
GAUGAAGAACGUAGUGAAAUGCGAUAAUUAAUGAGAAUUGCAGAAUUCAGUGAAUCAUCGAGUCUUUGAACGCACAUUGCGCCCCCUGGUAUUCCGGGGGGCAUGCCUGUCCGAGCGUCAUUGCUGCCCUCAAGCACGGCUUGUGUGUUGGGCUUCCGUCCCUGGCAACGGGGACGGGCCCAAAAGGCAGUGGCGGCACCAUGUCUGGUCCUCGAGCGUAUGGGGCUUUGUCACCCGCUCCCGUAGGUCCAGCUGGCAGCUAGCCUCGCAACCAAUCUUUUUAACCAGGUUGACCUCGGAUCAGGUAGGGAUACCCGCUGAACUUAAGCAUAUCAAUAAGCGGAGGA